AGUCAAGCCUCUGCCCUUUAUCGUCUACAAAGAAGGCUGUGAAAUUCUUUUGUCCCAUUCAACUCAUCAAAGAUGAUAGAGAUCUCAAACAAAGGUCGCUGUUUAAGACUGUGUGACGUUCAACGGCAGAAUCUGGAACGCUCACCCAUAGCAGGGCACAUCUGAAUCAAUCAUCUCAUUAGAAGAGCAGUAAACGGUUCUGUCACUGAUUGGAAAAUGUUGAGACGAAGCAGCGUUUCCCCUCGUGGGAGACUCAGGAUCCCUCAAAAACAUCACUAACGUGUUCCUUCAGGUCAGCCAGGCCCCUAGCGCUUCGGUUUCUUAUCUGGAAUCCCAGCGAAACAGACUCAAGUGCCUCCCUGCAGAAGGUUGAUUUUGGGAGGCUCGUUCUCUUCAUUAGGCUUGGAUGACCUUGCUGAGGCUGAACAAGAGUACAAAACCUGUGAGUUAAAUGGGUGGAACAAAACUACAGCUGCUGCACCUUACCGGGCCGAGAGUCGUGACCUGAUCUUCCAUCUUUUACAUAAAAUGAGUCAGAUCUUCAGCUUGCUGCCACAACUUCCAGAAGGAUCUGCUCCACAAUCUCCUCUGGCACAGAAGAGAGUCUGGCAGCUCGGCAGUUCCCCGAGUCAUCCUUCGUACCCUUCUUAAAAAUGGGCGUGACCUCACCCUCCUUCCAGCCACCGCGGACUUCGUCUGACUGCCAUGACUUUUCAAACAUCAUCAAGAGUAGCUUGGCAACAAUAUAAAACAGUUCCCUCAGAGCUCUGGGAUGCAUUUCGUCAGGACCCAUCGGGUUCCUCAGGUGGCUGCAGACCUGAUCUUCGCUUACAGCAAGAGGGAUGCAGCCCUCACCUUCCAACCAAUCCACUCAAGGCCUGGGGUGAAGAGCAGCUGACAGUGAAGACUGAGGCAAAAAUGUUGUGAAGUACCACAGCCUUCUCCUCUUCCGUUAUUAUCAGCCUGCCUGUAUUGCUCUCCGUGGUGUGGUAUUCCUGCUUGAACUUUCUUUUUUCUGGCUACUGUACCUGUACUUUUCUUUGCACUCUGAAAUAACAUCACAGGUUUGUCAGGACCUACUGAAGCAAUGUGAGGCUCUAUCAGCAGUGGAAGCAACGAUGCCUGAGAGAUAAACAGCUUUUGGUAUUCUAGAAAUCGUGAAGUACUGAAGGAAGUUACCAUUCUUGCAGGUCUUUCAAAGGUGUAAAAGUUUAAACAAGCCUCUGAUACAAAAUG
rnacentral:lncRNA from 7 species